AAUUUUGCUAGUUGGAAUCAUAAGAUGAAAAUGCAUAUUCUCGGACAUAACCCCGCCGUUUGGGCUAUUGUUUGUAUUGGUUUGCAAGGUGAAUUCUUUGAUGGGAGAGAACCGAACCGUGAAGCUAGUGCGGAUGAAUUGAAGAUGCUGCAAUACAACGCUCAAGCUUGGGAUAUCCUCUUCAACGGAUUGUGCCCCGAAGAAUUCAACAAAAUCAGUCGUCUUGAGAAUGCAAAGGAAAUUUGGGAUACUUUGAUUGAUAUGCAUGAAGGUACUGACUCCGUCAAGGAAUCCAAGUUGGAUGUGCUCCAAAGUCAGCUUGACAAGUUCGAAAUGAAGGAUGGUGAAGGUGUCACUGAAAUGUACUCUAGGCUUGCUCUUAUCACAAAUGAGAUUGCCGGCUUAGGGAGUGAAGAGAUGACCGACAGAUUCAUCAUCAAGAAGAUCCUAAGAGCAUUGGAUGGAAAGUAUGAUACCGUGUGCACAUUGAUCCAAAUGAUGCCAAACUACAAAGAUCUCAAGCCAACGGAAGUCAUUGGAAGAAUUGUUGCUCAUGUGAUGUCACUCAAGGAUAAGGAGGAACUUCACAACAAGUCAAGUGGU
rnacentral:rRNA from 1 species